rnacentral:rRNA from 1 species
GCAAGUCGAACGAGCUGCCGUUUUCGGAUCGUUCUCUAGUGGCGGACGGGUGCGUAACACGUGGGAAUCUACCCUAUAGUGGGGGAUAACUUCUGGAAACGGGAGCUAAUACCGCAUACGCCCUUCGGGGGAAAGAUUUAUCGCAAUAAGAGGAGCCCGCGGUGGAUUAGGUAGUUGGUGAGGUAAAGGCUCACCAAGCCGAUGAUCCAUAGCUGGUUUGAGAGGAUGAUC